AUGGCGCAGUGGAACGGCAUGGAGCAGGCAGCGACCAUCGCGCAGCUGGUGGGAGUGGAUGCGUUGGGGCUCAUCUCGACGAUUGUACAGGCAGCACAGACAGUUCAGCGCAACAAGGAGACCUGCCAGGAGCUUGUGCAGGAUGUGCAGUUGAUAAAUGGCCUGCUACGGAUGCUGCAAAACCCAGAGAUGAUGCAGCGAGAAGAGAUUGUAAACGCACUCAAUGGACUGGAGGGGACGCUCCGGGAGGCGUACAGCCUCGUCAGCUCCUGCCAGGACUGCAGCACCACAUAUCGCAUAUUCAUGGGAUGGAAACACACUGACCAGUUCCGACGUGUGAAGAAGAAGAUUGCCAAGCACCUCCGCUUCUACCCUAUGAUCUUCCAUGCUGACAUAACUUGUCGUCUCGAAAGAAUAAGCAAUGGCACGCUGUCGACGUGCUCAUCUCAGGACCAAGGAGGAGUGCUGACAUCAUCUACCAGCCACUCAAACUCUGAAGCUCGGACUGAAUGUAGUUUAUGGCCUGUUGAAUUAGAAAGAUCGCAGACAUGCAGGAGCGCUGAGUCCAUUGCAGUUGAGGAACACCAGCUAACAAGUCACCAGGAAAUUGCUGAACCUUUUGCCAGGAAGCAGAGGUUCCGGUGGGGUCACUGUUUGCCCUGGAAAAUGGUAGAAACAGCUCCUUGUAUUCAUGAACUCAACGGACCAGGGUUUUCAGGUUUCCAUUUCUCCCAAUUAUUGGCUGCUACAAAUAAUUUUGCAUUCCGAUGCAAAAUUAGAAGUUGUGGAUAUGCUGAUGUGUAUAAGGGACGAUUGGACAGUGGACUUGAAGUCAUGAUCAAAAGAUUUUAUCAAAAUAACUCCCAUUCUUCACUCACAUUUGAAAAUGAAGUCCGCUUUCAUGCAAAGCUUCUACACAAAAACGUUGCUAAGCUCAUUGGAUGUUGCAGUGAAAGAGGAGAAGCACUUUUAGUCUAUGAAUCUCUGCCAAAUGGGUGUUUGUCUGACGCGGUAACUGGAACAAGGGUGUUGCUCAACUGGUCUGAGCGCUUCAAAAUAAUUUUAGGGAUAGCCCGUGGGGUGGCCUAUCUACAUGAUUGCUGUGGGAUACAAAUUAUGCAUGGGGAUUUAAAUCCACAAAGGAUUCUCUUAGAUUCUUAUAUGACUCCUAAGAUUACUGAUUUUGCUUUUGCAAAAGUGUGUAGUCCGGAUGGGCGUGAAAGACACAAGCGUAGUUUACUCGGUACAAGGGGUUAUAUGGAUCCUGGAUAUGUUAUUAACCGUAUUUACUCAGUGAAGAGUGACGUGUAUAGCUUUGGUAUCACUCUUCUUGAGAUAAUUACUGCAAAGAGGCCCGAUGCACUUUUCAAGGAUGCAGGUGAUCUUCUCAGAUUGCCGACAAUGGCAGAAUCAAUGGAGAUGUACCACAUGAUAGAUCCAGCAUUGCAUGGUGAAUCAAGAAUGACCGAGAUAAUGAAAUGCAUUCAGAUCGCAUUAUGGUGCUCCAGGCCCAAUGCGGGAGACCGGCCCAGCAUGUGGGAUGUUCUUCUGAUGCUCAGCUGCGAGAAUGCAACCUUACGUGUGCCGGAGCCAUUCCAGAGCCAGUGUGACACACAGGAGCUGUGUGAAGGGGUGCUAUCGGAUUCAGAGAUAACUGAACCAAGAUAG
rnacentral:rRNA from 1 species